GACGAACGCUGGCGGCGUGCUUAACACAUGCAAGUCGAACGGAAAGGCCCUGCUUUUGUGGGGUGCUCGAGUGGCGAACGGGUGAGUAACACGUGAGUAACCUGCCCUUGACUUUGGGAUAACUUCAGGAAACUGGGGCUAAUACCGGAUAGGAGCUCCUGCUGCAUGGUGGGGGUUGGAAAGUUUCGGCGGUUGGGGAUGGACUCGCGGGUUAUCAGCUUGUUGGUGGGGUAGUGGCUUACCAAGGCUUUGACGGGUAGCCGGCCUGAGAGGGUGACCGGCCACAUUGGGACUGAGAUACGGCCCAGACUCCUACGGGAGGCAGCAGUGGGGAAUAUUGCACAAUGGGCGGAAGCCUGAUGCAGCAACGCCGCGUGCGGGAUGACGGCCUUCGGGUUGUAAACCGCUUUCGACUGUGACGAAGCGUGAGUGACGGUAAUGGGUAAAGAAGCACCGGCUAACUACGUG
rnacentral:rRNA from 1 species